UGGGGAAUAUUGCACAAUGGGCGCAAGCCUGAUGCAGCCAUGCCGCGUGUAUGAAGAAGGCCUUCGGGUUGUAAAGUACUUUCAGCGGGGAGGAAGGCGAUAAGGUUAAUAACCUUGUCGAUUGACGUUACCCGCAGAAGAAGCACCGGCUAACUCCGUGCCAGCAGCCGCGGUAAUACGGAGGGUGCAAGCGUUAAUCGGAAUUACUGGGCGUAAAGCGCACGCAGGCGGUCUGUCAAGUCGGAUGUGAAAUCCCCGGGCUCAACCUGGGAACUGCAUUCGAAACUGGCAGGCUAGAGUCUUGUAGAGGGGGGUAGAAUUCCAGGUGUAGCGGUGAAAUGCGUAGAGAUCUGGAGGAAUACCGGUGGCGAAGGCGGCCCCCUGGACAAAGACUGACGCUCAGGUGCGAAAGCGUGGGGAGCAAACG
rnacentral:rRNA from 1 species